UGGGGAAUAUUGGACAAUGGGCGAAAGCCUGAUCCAGCCAUGCCGCGUGUGUGAAGAAGGUCUUCGGAUUGUAAAGCACUUUAAGUUGGGAGGAAGGGCAGUAAGCGAAUACCUUGCUGUUUUGACGUUACCGACAGAAUAAGCACCGGCUAACUCUGUGCCAGCAGCCGCGGUAAUACAGAGGGUGCGAGCGUUAAUCGGAUUUACUGGGCGUAAAGCGUGCGUAGGCGGCUAAUUGAGUCGGAUGUGAAAUCCCCGAGCUUAACUUGGGAAUUGCAUUCGAUACUGGUUAGCUAGAGUGUGGGAGAGGAUGGUAGAAUUCCAGGUGUAGCGGUGAAAUGCGUAGAGAUCUGGAGGAAUACCUAUGGCGAAGGCAGCCAUCUGGCCUAACACUGACGCUGAGGUACGAAAGCAUGGGGAGCAAACAGG
rnacentral:rRNA from 1 species